GGUGGAGAGUUGUCGUGCGGUCUUUGGAUUGUUUGCCUGCUGGAUUCUUCUUGUCAGAUGUGGCAUGUUAGGCCAUUGGUGAAAUGCAAGCUCCUGGGAAAUCAAGCUGAUGCUGGAGAGACAGAGCAUGAACAGGGGAGGGUCAGAGAAAGAGGG